ACGGUAGAUAGAGAGGGGAGGAAGACUGGAGCAUGGCACGGUAGAUAGAGAGGGGAGGAAGACUGGAGCAUGGCACGGUAGAUAGAGAGGGGGAGGAAGACUGGAGCAUGGCACGGUAGGUGGAGGAAGACUGGAGCAUGGCACGUAGAUAGGUGGAGGAAGACUGGAGCAUGGCACGCUAGAUGGAGAGUGGAGGAAGGGAGCAUGGCACGCUAGAUGGAGAGUGGAGGAAGGGAGCAUGGCACGCUAGAUGGAGAGUGGAGGAAGGGAGCAUGGCACGCUAGAUGGAGAGAGGAGGAAGGGAGCAUGGCACGCUAGAUGGAGAGUGGAGGAAGGGAGCAUGGCACGCUAGAUGGAGAGUGGAGGAAGGGAGCAUGGCACGCUAGAUGGAGAGUGGAGGAAGGGAGCAUGGCACGCUAGAUGGAGAGUGGAGGAAGGGAGC